UCUCAAUUUCUGCAUUUGUAAAUAGAGAUGAUAAAGAAUCAUAGUCCCCCAGUGGAGGAGUGGGGCUGAAGGGCAGCAACAGUGUAUGGAUGAUAAGAAGGUUGAAGCAGAAGAUGAGUGCCUCUGGCUUAUUACAUCAUCAUUUUACAAGAGAAACUAACGUCCAGAGAAUAUCAAGAAACUGAAGCUUCCCAGGCCCAACUCCUCGGCUUCCUGACGUCAGUCUACCUUUCACCAUGGACAUAAACAGCCAAGGACACUCAUCUGAGAAAUCCUUUGUCUUCUCUGCUGGAAGCAGCCUCAGACACAGGCCGAUGGGAAAAUGCGGACCAAGAAAUCCACAGCCCCCCUCCCCUACCUAAAACCCCAAAUGAAAACCCCUACCCAUUUCUUAACGGGGAGCAAGUAACUUUUGGGAUGCUGGCCCUUGCUUUGCUCCCUCUGCCUGGCAAAGUAAAGCCUUUCUUUUUUCUCCCAAAACUCUAUUCUCGUUGUUUGGAUUGGCAUUGGGAUCAGAGACCGAACUUUCGGUAAAAUCAUGACUCCAGCUUCAUCAAAAUUUAGAGAAAAUGAUUUAAUUCCUACUUUGUUAGACUUUUCCUGCACUCACUUAAAUCAAAUGUUUGUUGUUGAAUAAGGAAUUAGAAGAGAGAAAAGGGGAAACUGAGCAUGUUAUUUCAAGAAAAAGCAAAUGUGUGAAAGUUCAGUGCAUAUUACAGACAAGGUGAAUUGGUUCGCU
rnacentral:lncRNA from 1 species